AGUGAACGCUGGCGGCAGGCCUAACACAUGCAAGUCGAGCGGCAGCGGGUUCCCGCGAGGGGAUGCCGGCGAGCGGCGGACGGGUGAGGAACACAUCGGAAUCUGCCUGGUUGUGGGGGAUAACGUAGGGAAACUUACGCUAAUACCGCAUGAGACCCUGAGUCGACGGACUGGGGGUGAAAGUGAGGGACCUUCGGGCCUCACGCGACCAGAUGAGCCGAUGUCGGAUUAGCUAGUUGGCGGGGUAACGGCCCGCCAAGGCGACGAUCCGUAGCUGGUCUGAGAGGAUGAUCAGCCACACUGGGACUGAGACACGGCCCAGACUCCUACGGGAGGCAGCAGUGGGAAUCUUGGACAAUGGGCGCAAGCCUGAUCCAGCCAUGCCGCGUGGGUGAC
rnacentral:rRNA from 1 species